rnacentral:tRNA from 1 species
GGGUUGUUAAUUCAAUGGUAGAAUAGAUAAGGGAAUAUUCAUAAAACAAGGCGCCUUAUAACAGCGGUUCGAUUCCGCUACAAUCCA